GUCCUUUAUAGUCAUGGCAGGUAACAUGGCAGCAUGCAAGCAGAUACGGUGCAGAAGGAUCUAAGAGUUCUACAUCCUGAUCCUCAGGCAGCAGAAGGAGACUGUGUGCCACUUUAGGCAGAGCUUAAACAUAGGAGACCUCAGGAGCCCACUCCCACAGUGACACAUUCUCCAACAAGGCCACACCUACUCCAACAAAGUCACACCUCCUAAUAGUGCAACUCCCUAUGGGCCAAGCAUUCAAACACGAGUGUGUCUAUGGAAGCCAAACCUAUUCAAAUCACCAUAGCCCCCUUGCCUGCCUGUUCCACCUGUUCCCUAGCUCCCAGCCCAGAGGAUGCUGGUCCCACAACUGUGCUCAGGUCCCAGGUUCCUAGAGAUGAUGCAGGGGUCCUAAAUGUGACCUUAGGAACACAGCCACACAACUAAAAAUUUCCUCUCUCCACACUCUGUUCUGUUUUGUUUUCUUCUGGAAUAGUUGCAAAUAGAAAGUUGCUAAGCACUUAGAAGGCUGAGACAGGAGGAUCUGAAGGUCAAGGGUAACCCAGCUGCAUGGGAAGUUGGAGACCAGCAUGGAAAUCUUGUCUCAAACACACACACAAACACACACACACACACACACACAAAUACACACACACACACACAAAUACACACACACACCCCAAAACAAAACAAACAAAAAACUUAUAGGGUUGAGAAUUUAUCCCAAAUAUCUCUGUUGACAUUUUUAUAUUUUCACUUCUCCCUUCCCCCUCUUCUCCCCUCCCUUCCCCCUCCCUCUCUCCUCCUUUUCUCCUCCCCCUUUUUUCACUUUUAACCAUUAGAGGUGGUUCAGUGAAUCUCUCAAGAGUGAGGGUGUUAUUUGCCAUAAUCUAAAGAAAGUGUGAACCUCAGGAAUUUAAACAUUGACUACCAGUUACUAUCUUCUUUUCUUCUUUCUUAAAAAAAAAUUAAAAGUGUGUGUGUGUGUGUGUGUGUGUGUGUGUGUAAAUGAAAGAGAGAUAGAGAAGGAAGAAGGGAUGGGGAGGGAGAAAGAUGGUAUUUACAAGGUCAAUGUUGGUAGUUUCUUCUGGCCUUCCAAAUCAGAUCGCCAAGUUCAUACAGUAGGCACCUUUACCUGCUGAACAGUCGUACAUUGUUUUGUUGUUGUUGUUGUUUUGAGACAGGGUCUCAGUAGCCAAGCUUGUCCUCAAACUAUGUAGAGCUGGAGAUGUCCUUGAACUCCUGUCUUGUUCUGCCUCCUGAGUGUCAGAAUGACAGGCAUGAGCAUUCAGGGCUUUGCACAAGCUAGACAAGCACUGUACCAAUUGAGACACACCCAGCCUUAAACACUACGCUCUCAGUCACAGCUUACCCUCCCAGCUUCUCGUCCCAUUAGUAGUGUUCAUUGCUAAUUUUGCUUUACCCUGCAUGUUCUGAACCCAGUGCAGAAUAAAAUGUGCAUUCAAUGUCAAUUGUCUCUCAGUAGCAUGUUUGACCGGAAGCACCCUCCAACCUCCUGUGUCUAGACACACUCUGGAAUCUACAGGCAGGAAUCUCCUUAAGUUUGCAUCUGCCUAGCUUUAGAGUUUGCGUUUGUAAUGGGAAUAUCAACCAGGCCAUUGCGUAUUCCUUCUGACCUUCUAUCAAAGACACACAAUGCUUGGGUCCCUUUGCUGCAGAUGCUAACUGUGUCACCUGAUAAAGGUGGUGUCUGCCAAGUUCCUUCGCUUGCAAAAGCACUCUUUCUCUUUAGGACUGACACACAUCUUAUAGGGAGAUUGCUUCUGAUUGUCAAUAUUCAGUUCUUCAGACUUUCACCCACACAUUUUGGCAUCCAUUGGUAAAUACUGCCUGAGUUAAUUACCAGAGCAAAGACUGCAAAAUGGAGCUUUUGUUUGGUUGAGUUGGCUUUGAUUUUGAGGCAGGGUCUCAAUAUGUAACCCAGACUGGCCUUGAACUCUUCAUCCUCUUGCCCUGGCCUUGACUGCUGGGAUUACUAGAAUGAACCACGAUGCCCAAAGCAAAUGGGGUUUUCUGAUGAUUGGUGCAACUGAUUACAUCCAGGAACUCUCAGCUGGUGAGAUGGCUCUGUGGGUAAGGGGGCUUGCUGCCAAGCUUGAGGAUCUGAGGUUAGCCCCCAGGAGCCACGUGGAGGAAGAAGAGAACUCCCCAAAGUUGUCCUCUGACCUCCAUAUACACACACCGUGACAUGUGCUUAUAUAUACACAGACACACCUAUGUACUAAAAUACAUAAAUAAAAUCAGAAUUUUCAAAUAAUAGAAAAACUUGGAACCCCUCCCACUCUGUUUUCCUUACUUUCCCUUAAUAUAUUUUUAUAGAUAAAUAAAAAUUUUAAGUGGAAGGAAAGU
rnacentral:lncRNA from 1 species